rnacentral:misc_RNA from 1 species
GGGGAUAUUGGUCCACUGAAAUUAUUAUCACUCAAAUCAAGUACGCUGGCAAGUGGCAGAGCCCAAACCCCAUCUGGAAUCCGUCCAGAUAACUUGUUCUUAUUGAUCCUCAACCUUAUUAAAGAUUUACACUNAGAAUCUGGCAACUCCCCAGAAAAAAUGUUUCCCAAAGCCAGCAAGUACUGUAAGUUUCUGCUUUCACACAAAAACUUCGGGAAACUACCUGAAAAUUGAUUCUCAGAUAUGUCAAUACUGUUUAGUGGUGAGAAUCU